AGCGCAAGCCUGAGCAUCGCUUUGAGGAUGACGAAGAUGGACAUGGAAAAGGAAAGGGCAAAGGCAAGGACGAGCAUGGACAUGGGCAUGGACCACCUCAUGGACACGGGCAAGGACACGGGCAUGGACAUGGACCACCCCAGGGGCAUGGGAAUGCAUGGAAAUGGGGGCAGAGGUGGAGAGCAUGGCGGUGGACGUGGCGGACAUCACUGAAUUCCUGCACUCCUUAACUACUGAAGGAUUGGCUUAGCCAGGCCGCGCCUUCCUAGUGACGCAACACUUUCGGCAUUGCAACUAGUCAGGUCAAGAGCAAUGCAAGUACUUUCUGAGUUCCUGAAAAUACAGGAAUUCCUUUCACUUUGUCGGGAAGCAAACAACCAUAAGCA